GCGGAGCAGAGCAGGAUCCUCUGCACCUACCCGGCCAGGUCCGUGGAGCAACAUCGGCAUCAUGAAUGCAGCGGCCAAAGCUGGAAAGCUGGCUCGAGCACCAGCCGACCUAGGGAAAGGUGGGGUCCCGGGAGACGCAGCUCCCGGUGCCCCAGGGGCCGCCCCGCUGGCGAAAGAGAUUCCGGAGGUCCUGAUGGAUCCACGCAGCCGGCGGCAGUAUGUACGGGGCCGCUUUCUGGGUCUCUCCUGGAGCUGCACAAAAGGAGGAAGGCGCUGACCGAGCCCGAGGCCCGAUACUACCUGCGGCAGAUAGUCCUGGGUUGCCAGUACCUGCACCGCAAUCAAGUCAUUCACAGGGACCUCAAACUGGGCAACCUCUUUCUGAAUGAGGAUCUGGAGGUGAAAAUAGGGGAUUUUGGCCUGGCAACAAAAGUGGAAUAUGAAGGGGAACGGAA
rnacentral:lncRNA from 1 species